UAAAAAUUUUUUUUAAAAUUUAUUUUACAUAUAAAUUUUAGUGUAAAUUUUUAAAUAUUUUAAGAAUAUUUAAUUUUAUUAAAUUAGUAAUUAAUAUUAAAAAUUUAAGAAAUUAAGAUUUAGUAAUAUUAAAAUUAAUAACAAAUUUUGUGCCAGCAGUUGCGGUUAUACAAAAGUUAAAUUAAAUUUUAUUAGUAAUAAUUAAUAUAAAAUAAUUUAAUUUAAAUAUUAAAUUAAUAAGUGAAAUUUUAAUUUAAUUAAAAAUUAUAAUAAAAAUUGUAUGAUUUAAUAAAUUUUAAUAUAAACUAGGAUUAGAUACCCUAUUAUUAAAAAUUUAAAUUUAAAAUACUAAAAUAGUAAAUAAUUAUUUAUUUAAACUUAAAUAAUUUGGCGGUAUUUUAGUUCAUUUAGAGGAAUCUGUUUAUUAAUUGAUAAUCCACGAAUAAUUUUACUUAGUUUAUAAUUUUGUAUAUCGUUGUUAAAAAAAUAUUUUUAAAUAAAUUUAAUAUUUUAAAAUUUAAAAAGAAAAUUAAAUCAGAUCAAGAUGCAGAUAAUAAUUAAGAAUAUAAUGGAUUACAAUAAAUUUAUUUAUAUGAAUAUUAAAUUGAAAAAUUUAAUUGAAAGUGGAUUUAAAUGUAAUUUUAUUUAAUUUAAUAAAAUGAUUUUAAAUUAAAAUAUGUACAUAUUGCCCGUCGCUUUCAUUAAUAAGUUGAAAUAAGUCGUAACAAAGUAGAGGUACUGGAAAGUGUUUCUAGAAAGAA
rnacentral:ncRNA from 1 species